AUGCCGCAAGCCGCCACCCAAGAGGGAGAGGCGUCGGGGUCCGGACCAACCCUCGUGCUCCGCCGCGGCCGGAGCUCCACCGUCUCAGCAACACCCACGACGACCACCCGGUCGAUGGCCCUGGUGCGUGCGCGGCGGAAGCCCCCGGGCUCCCAAUCGCCACAGGAACCACCCGUGCGGUCCCCGACAAGUAAGAGAAAGAGGGGGGCGGCUGCCAACCAGGAAUCGAAGGAACGGACAAGGACCAGGGAUGAGGAGGAGGAGGAGGAAGAGGAUGGGGUCUCAUCUGCAGGCAGCUCCCCAAUUCGCGCGCCGCAGAUUCCGGAUGCGUUAUAUGAAGAUCUGGAUAUGCUUAAGGCCAUUCAAGAUAUACACGAUGCAUACGAUGAAAAAUUAGGUCGCCAAAUGGAACUGCCGACUCUUUAUCUGCACACGUGUAAACCGCCCACAUGCUUGAGUACUAAUCCUAAGCUUCUUCGUGUCCGCGAAUCCACAACAAAGACAGUGCUUGCUGCUGCUCCAUCAGUUAUUGGACUUUCAUCUUCUGUUGGUCGUCAUUCGCUAACACGAUGCUCUGGAUUUUGGGUUGAUUGGGAUGAGGAGAACAAAAAAGGUACUGUUUUGACUACUGCACAUCUGAUUCGCACGAAGUCCCCAUCCUCAAAUGACUGGCUAGGUAAAGAUGAGUAUGCUCCCAAGGCCAAGGUUUUUGUUCACUUUCGGGAUGCCACUACUGAGAAGGCCACCAUGCUGUACUACGAGAAGCACUACAAUCUUGCUAUGUUUGAGGUUAGAGUAGAUGAACCUGUCCAGUUGCUCUCCUUCAAUGAUGACGUGAAAAGUGCUGAAGAAGUGUUUGAACUCGGAAGAGAUGAAAGUUCAUUUCUAACGAUAGGUCAUGGUAUGGUGCAAUAUCUGAAUCCCAACCUGCUUGAACGGCAUCACUAUCUGUAUGUUCAUGGCACAGAUGAGCAUCCUAAGGCACAGAUUUAUGACAAUGGAGGGCCAGUUAUUGACUUUGAUGGCAAGAUUGUGGGAAUGGUCAGCAACAGCACGAGAGGGUCUAUUAUUCCUUCAUCCAUUUUGCUCAAGUGCUUGCAUUUGUGGAAGAAAUUUGGGCGCAUGUCUCGACCCCACCUUGGAUUGAAGUUUUCUGCAAUCAAGCUUUUAGAUCCUCCUCUUAUCGAGCAAAUAUUGGUCAAGUGUAGCAUUGAUAGUGGUCUUAUUGUUCAAGAGGUGUCCGAAGGAUCUCCCGCUGAGAAACUUGGAUUUCGAGUGGGUGAUGUCAUUGAAUGCUUAAAUGGAAAACACGUCUCUACCACCGUUGAGCUAGAGAACAUGUUGCUGAGUAAGUAUGUGGAAGGAUCAAGUGGCCUUAAUUCUGAGGUGGAUAUUGAGGUUUGGGUAUUUCAUAUGCGCAGAAGUCUUUGGAGAAGUAAAACAUUAACUGUAAAAGUAUCUGAUGACGCAGAAGUCAUUGUGAGAGGAGGUUACCAUCCUUUUGGACAAAAGACUUGA
rnacentral:rRNA from 1 species